rnacentral:snRNA from 1 species
ACCCAAAUUUAUGAAGUUCAUUCGUG